AAAGGGUGGGGCGCGCAGCCCCAUAGGGGAGACCCCAAACCCAACUCCCAGAAGAUGGAGAUGUUACAGGGGAAGAGUGUUUGUUGUGCCUUCCGUUCACCAGUGUAUCGUCAUGAUGUUAGGUUUCUCUCACUGUUGUAUGGGUUAGGUUGAGAGUAGAUCAUGGGUGUAAGGGCAGUGGGUAGACUCUGAAGGAGAAGAGAAGCGUGUUGAAUAGGUUGCGCCUUCUGUUCGCUGAUUUCGUCAUUGAAGGUGUUGCUCGGCGCUGGUUUAUGUCAGAUGAGGACUGUACGGAUGUAACGGUGGAGCCAAUCGUGUAGCAACAAGUUAGCUUCUUUUAUUCAAUUCAUCACGUUUCAAGUAAGAUCACAGACUUCCAUCAUCCUUCAAAUAGUUACCCUAUUAAAAUUUAAAUAACCUCCUACUAGCUGUAGAGUGAUAGUGUAAUGGCCUUUUCCCUUUGUAAUCUCUAUAAAUACCCCCUAUGUUUGUUCAUUACCCUGAUGUCUUCCCCUCCAGAGCUUUAGUGUAUCAGCUCUUGCUUUGGGGCUUGCUCAAUGGCGUGCGGGUAUUGGCAUGUGGUACUCCAACUUGGAGAUUUUCUCUUCCUUCACUCCGUCACCACCAACCUCUCUCAAAAAUGUUGUGGAGAAACCUUGUGGUAAGGAUUUUCAAUCUGCAGAAGAACUUAGUACUGAGAUUGGAGAGUUGUAUGAGGAGCCACAGAUUUAGCACAUUGAUCAUUACUUGGGAAAGAAACUUGUGUAAAACUUGCUAAUCCAGUUAUUACUUCAAUUCGCAAAUUGACUUUUCUUACCUCUUUGGAAGCGCGACAACAUUGCCAAUCUUUCUCCUUCUAGGAGGAUGGCAAUCAAGACUGUUGCAGGGUGAGCAAGGUUAGACUCUGGAGGGGGGAACUUGAGGGCCUCACAACAUAAAUUAUUGGGCAGAGAAAAAAUCAGUCACCUGGUACCAGCUUCGUGAAAUGCAACCCGGUUGCGAAUUUCAAAGGCCAUUAUAUAUAGAAGAGAUGCUAUUUUGGCCAUGACUCGCGCUGUAAGACAGUCAGGUCUCCAUCCUUCUGAUGUACAUUAUAUAAAUGCGCAUGCUACACCUACUACUUUGGGCAAGUGAAGUGAACCCUCACUGAUUCCAGCAAUUUAAGCCUGGGUGAUGCAAUAGAAGCAAAUGCUAUCAAAACCAUAUUCUCUAAUCAUGCUAACUCAUCUUCUUUAGCCUUCUCUUCCACCAAGGGGGCUAUUGGUCAUUUCGAGGUGCUGCUGGAGCUGUUGAAGCAAUAUUUACAGUUUUGGCAAUACGACAUGGAAUUGCUCAAUUAACUCUUAAUUUAACUAAGCCACAUCCUGUAUUCAGUGAUGGUUUCAUGCCAUUGACUACUUCCGAGGAGAUGCCAAUUGGAGUAGCUAUGCCAAAUUCAUUUGGUUUUGGAAGAACAAAUUUGUCCCUACUUUUUGCUCGCACCGGAUCUGACUAAUGAGAUAGUUGCAUCUCACUCCAUCGUAUGGAAAAAUAACUCAUAUUGACCUAAAUGUUCCGCCAAGGCCUCCUGGCUAUGCGUUUGUAGAGUUUGAAGACACUCAAGAUGUUGAGGAUGCAAUUCGUGGGUGCAAUGGUUAUGAUUUUGAUGGUCACCGUUUAUGGGUUGGUUAUAUCUUAUAAUUACAAGCUUUAUUGUUCUGACAACUACAAUUACUCCUACCAAAAGUUGGGGGAAAAACAAGAUAGCUUCAAUGAAUUGCUGAUAUUGUUGAAAUUUGUAUCUCUACAGGUGGAGCUUGCUCAUGGUGGAUUAGUUCAAUAAUAUAGUUGUCACCAUUGUUUUUUUUUUCAUUUGCUGAACUUUUGAACUUCUUUUUCUCUCUCUCUCUUUGUGAAACUGUAGAGACACUACAACAAGUUUCUGAAGAAGAAACGUCCCUGGGCUUCCCUUGAGGAAAAAUUAGAAGAAGAAAUGGAGCAGAAGCUAGAGCUUUUCUUGCAAACAAGCUGUAAAAGCAAAAGCGGUAGAGCAAAAAGCCAUUGAGAAUGAUGUCUCACAUGAAAAAGGUAGAAGUCUCAAUUUCAGAUUCAAAUGAUACUGACAGAAGGGUUUGCAUCUCUAAGUGGAAAAAUCAAGGAAUCUGAAGAUUUGUUUGAGACGACAUAAGCAGCUUCCAUGGUUCAGGUGGAAGUAAUCAACACAAGGAAGAAAUAAAGGCUGCAACAUACUUGGCUUUGAGGAAUGCAUGCAGAGAUAGCAGAUUCUGAAAAGCUAAUUUCUCACAACUUUUUUCGCUUUUACUUGUGCAAUUGUUGGAGUUUGAUGAGUCAAAGACCUGCAAAUUCAUCCCAAGAAGAUGUUAUGCUAAAAGUCAACUUACCCAAUACCAAUACUUCUGAGUCACAAAAGAGAUGAUUUUUUAUAUUUGGGAAUGACUUUUUAAGCUAACUUAUUUAGCAGCCCACCUCUGUAACAGAUUGUGAUUAAAUGAAAUGUGUUCAUGUUGUUUUUCA